rnacentral:misc_RNA from 1 species
UACGGAGGGUGCGAGCGUUAAUCGGAAUUACUGGGCGUAAAGCGCGCGUAGGCGGCUAGGUCAGUCGAAUGUGAAAGCCCCGGGCUUAACCUGGGAAUUGCACUCGAUACUGCCUGACUAGAGUAUGGGAGAGGGAAGUGGAAUUUCGGGUGUAGCGGUGAAAUGCGUAGAUAUCGGAAGGAACACCAGUGGCGAAGGCGACUUCCUGGCCCAAUACUGACGCUGAGGUGCGAAAGCGUGGGUAGCGAACAGG